rnacentral:rRNA from 3 species
GGGAACGUACCCUUCGGUUCGGAAUAACGCUGGGAAACUAGCGCUAAUACCGGAUACGCCCUUAUGGGGAAAGGUUUACUGCCGAAGGAUCGGCCCGCGUCUGAUUAGCUAGUUGGUGGGGUAAUGGCCUACCAAGGCGACGAUCAGUAGCUGGUCUGAGAGGAUGAUCAGCCACACUGGGACUGAGACACGGCCCAGACUCCUACGGGAGGCAGCAGUGGGGAAUAUUGGACAAUGGGCGCAAGCCUGAUCCAGCCAUGCCGCGUGAGUGAUGAAGGCCUUAGGGUUGUAAAGCUCUUUUGUCCGGGACGAUAAUGACGGUACCGGAAGAAUAAGCCCCGGCUAACUUCGUGCCAGCAGCCGCGGUAAUACGAAGGGGGCUAGCGUUGCUCGGAAUCACUGGGCGUAAAGGGCGCGUAGGCGGCCAUUCAAGUCGGGGGUGAAAGCCUGUGGCUCAACCACAGAAUUGCCUUCGAUACUGUUUGGCUUGAGUAUGGCAGAGGUCAGUGGAACUGCGAGU